AUGGGCUCGGACGCCCCGAUCUCCUUGCUCCGGCGCCUGGCCGCCCCGCUCUCCUUGCUCCGGCACCUGGCCGCCGAUUUCCUCGGCGUCGUACGCUUCCGUAUCCACUCGGCCACCUUCCCAAGCACCAAGAGGCUCAAGAGAAUUUUCUUCCAAGGUUUGCUUGACAAGAUUGCCAAGAAGUUAGCCGCAUGGAAAGCUCGAUGGAUUACUUUGGCUGGUCGUACUGUUCUGGUCAGAUUCGUGCUCUCUGCAAUGCCUAUUUUUCAACUUAUUGCCGUUAAGCAGCCAAAAUGGUUUAUUAAACAAAUCGACAAGAUGAGAAGGGCCUUUCUUUGGGCCGGGUCAGAUUCAGUUAGUGGUGGAAAAUGCUUGAUCAAAUGGUCUCAAGUUUGCUCUCCUCUUGAGCUUGGUGGGCUACGUAUACCUGAUCUGAUUUGUCAAGGAAGGGCACUGAGAGUUAGGUGGCUCUGGCAGAACGCCACUGAUGGUGAUAAAUCUUGGCAUGGGUUAACACUGCCAGUGGACAAGGAGGUUAAGGCCAUUUUUGUGGCUAGUACUUCAAUCAAGAUUGGGAAUGGAAAAUCCUUCAGUUUUUGGCAUGACCAUUGGCUGCAUGGUGAGAUCCCCUCGGUUUCCUUCCCGUUAUUUUACAAGCAUUGUAAUAGGCGCCAGAUCACUGUCUCUGAAGGUCUCACGGAUAAUCUCUGGAUUUGGCUCAUCAAGCGCAAUCCUGAUGAGGCUGUUCUAAGAGAAUUUGUUGACUUAUGGCACAGAUUACAAAGCUUCAACAUCUCUGAAUUGGAAGAUGAAAAUUGUUGGAAAUGGACUGCGAAUGGAACUUAUUGCACACAAUCUACAUACCACUUACAGUUUUAUGGCAGAGUCAGCUCUCCUUUCUUGAACAUCAUUUGGCAGAUCAAAAUCCCCCCAAAAAUAAAGAUGUUUGCUUGGCUGGCUGUGCAAGGAAAGUGUCUUACGGCUGACAACCUUGCAAGGAGAAAAUGGCCCCAUGACCCGGUCUGCCCCCUCUGCAGAAUUGGCCUCGAAUCCGCUCACCACCUCUUUGCUGAUUGCCCAUUCACAGCUGGUGUUUGGGGUUUCUGCCUGACAAAAUUUCAGUUUCCAUUUGAUGCUAGACCGAAUAGGAAGCAGGCCUUCUCCUCGCUGGUGAUGGCUAUUUGGUGGGGCAUUUGGAAGGAACGAAAUGAUCGCAUCUUCAACCAUAAAUUUUUCUCCUUUCUGAAUAUUUGUGAUCAAAUUGUACUCGAGCUGCGCACUUGGUGGACUGCCGGCCUCAAGGCUCUGCACCGCAUGUCUGAAGUCCUCCUCGUCUGGUCUUGCCUGAGCUGUAUAUGCGGGGACGCCAACGCGGUGGGCGAGCUGAUGAUGCCGCCAAAACUCAGCGUUGAUGGGAAUGAGAUGAUGCGACGCUACCGGUUACAUGUGUGUGUCAACGGGGAACCACAUCAUGACAGCAAGGUGUUGAUUGCGUCAAUUUUGUGUGUGUAUGUGAAAGAGAGAGCACCACAACUAACAACACUUCAAGGGAGAGGCGACGCGAUUCGUUGGGGCCGAGGGUUGACCGGUCUCCUCUGA
rnacentral:rRNA from 1 species